UGCACAGCUCAGUGGUAGAGUAUUUGCCCAGCAUGCUCAAGGGCCUGGGUUCUAUCCCCAGCACUGCAA
rnacentral:tRNA from 1 species